rnacentral:rRNA from 1 species
AGCAGCCGCGGUAAUUCCAGCUCCAAUAGGGUAUAUUAAAGUUGUUGCAGUUAAAAAGCUCGUAGUUGAAUUUCGGGAUCAAUAUGUUGGUCGUGCCUCGGUACGUACUAGCUUAUUGGUUUCUCCUUUCUGAAGAACCAUGAUGUCAUUUAUUUGGUGUCGUGGGGAAUCAGGACUGUUACUUUGAAAAAAUUAGAGUGUUUAAAGCAGGCUCACGCUUGAAUACAUUAGCAUGGAAUAAUGAAAUAGGACGUUUGAUUCUAUUUUGUUGGUUUCUAGGAUCGACGUAAUGAUUAAUAGGGAUAGUUGGGGGCAUUAGUAUUCAAUUGUCAGAGGUGAAAUUCUUGGAUUUAUUGAGGACUAACUAUUGCGAAAGCAUUUGCCAAGGAUGUUUUCAUUAAUCAAGAACGAAAGUUAGGGGAUCGAAGACGAUCAGAUACCGUCGUAGUCUUAACCAUAAACUAUGCCGACUAGGGAUCGGAUGAUGUUAAUUUUUAAUGACUCAUUCGGCGCCUUACGG